UAGCUGUGGAUGGGCCAGUUCAAAGGGAGGAACCAGGAACUCAUUCCAGUGAGUUCCCAAGUGCUGGCAGAGAUCCAACCACUUGAGCCAUCACCUGCUACUUCCUAGGGAACACAUUAUUAGCAGGAAACUGGUAUCAGGAGCUGAGCCAGGAACCAAACAUAGGCACUCUGAUAUGAUAUGUGAGUGUCCUAAGCAUUACCUUAACCACUGUGCUAAACAACUUCCCCCUAACUUGAAUCUAAAAACAAAGCAAAAACCCUCUUCCACCAGACUGGAAACAGUCAGACAACAAAAGUAGAAGAGAAUCAAAGCAGUGAAACAUUUUGUUGUGAGAAAGAGUGGCAGAGAACACACAAUAAGUCAGGUAAAGCUGCUGCCUGCAGUGCCGGCAUCCAUAGGAGCGCUCGUUCGAGUCCUGGCUGCUCCACUUCCAGUCUAGCUUUCUGCUAGGCCUGGGAAAACAGUAGAAGAUGGCCCAAGUCCUUGGGCUCCUGCACCGAUGUGGGAGACCUGGAAAAAGCUCCUGGCUCCUGGCUUCAGAUCGGCAAAGCUCCAGCCGUUGCAGCCAUCUGGGGAGUGAACCAGCAGAUGGAAGACUUUUCUCUCUCUCUCUCUGCCUCUCUAUAACUCUGCCUUUCAAAUAAAUCUUAAAAAAAAAGGCCUCCUAGAUAAAGCUUAUAGAGUUGUAAAAGUACAUUUUGUAGAACACUGCCUAGCAAUUAAAAAGAAUAUAGGAGAGACCAUUUGGCCUAGUAAUUAAGACAAAGUCAUCCCACCACACAGAACCUUGUUCCAUUCCCAUCUCUACCUCCUACCUCAGGCUUCCUACCAAUGCACACCCUUCGAGGCAACAGGGAUGGCUCAGGUAAUGGGGUUCCUGCCACCCACAUGGGAGACCUGGAUGACAUUCCUGGCUGUGUGUAGAGAUAAGCAUGUGCAAUUAUCUCUAAGAAUCUUUAAGUAAAUGUAAUUAAAGAAUACUGUCACUUGACUUGUUGUCCUGCA